GAGUGUUACAGCUCUUUUAGAAUUUGUGUAGCAGGUUUUCUGGCUUUAGCUGGAAAACCCUU
ensembl:snRNA U7 U7 small nuclear RNA